GACGAACGCUGGCGGCGUGCUUAACACAUGCAAGUCGAACGGAAAGGCCCUGCUUGCAGUGUACUCGAGUGGCGAACGGGUGAGUAACACGUGGGUGAUCUGCCCUGCACUUCGGGUUAAGCCUGUGAAACUGGGUCUAAUACCGGAUAGGUGCCAUUUUUAGUGUGAUGGUUGGAAAGUUUUUUCGGUGUUGGAUGAGGUCGCGGCCUAUCUGCUUGUUGGUGUGGUAAUGGCCUACCAAGGCGGCGACGGGUAGCCGGACUGAGAGGGUGGACGGCCACAUUGGGACUGAGAUACGGCAGAGACACCUAAGGGAGGGAGCAGUGGGGAAGAUUGAACAAUGGGCGCAAGCCUGAUGCAGAGACGCCGCGUGGGGGAUGACGGCCUUAGGGUUGUAAACUAAUUUCGCUAGGGACGAAGCAUUUUGUGACGGUACCUAGAUAAGAAGCACCGGCUAACUACGUG
rnacentral:rRNA from 1 species